rnacentral:rRNA from 1 species
GAUGAACGCUGGCGGCGUGCCUAAUACAUGCAAGUCGAGCGAACAGAUAAGGAGCUUGCUCCUCUGACGUUAGCGGCGGACGGGUGAGUAACACGUGGAUAACCUACCUAUAAGACUGGGAUAACUUCGGGAAACCGGAGCUAAUACCGGAUAAUAUUUUGAACCGCAUGGUUCAAUAGUGAAAGAUGGUUUUGCUGUCACUUAUAGAUGGAUCCGCGCCGUAUUAGCUAGUUGGUAAGGUAACGGCUUACCAAGGCAACGAUGCGUAGCCGACCUGAGAGGGUGAUCGGCCACACUGGAACUGAGACACGGUCCAGACUCCUACGGGAGGCAGCAGUAGGGAAUCUUCCGCAAUGGGCGAAAGCCUGACGGAGCAACGCCGCGUGAGUGAUGAAGGUCUUCGGAUCGUAAAACUCUGUUAUUAGGGAAGAACAAAUGUGUAAGUAACUAUGCACGUCUUGACGGUACCUAAUCAGAAAGCCACGGCUAACUACGUG